GAUGAACGCUGGCGGCGUGCCUAAUACAUGCAAGUCGAGCGAAUGGAUUAAGAGCUUGCUCUUAUGAAGUUAGCGGCGGACGGGUGAGUAACACGUGGGUAACCUGCCCAUAAGACUGGGAUAACUCCGGGAAACCGGGGCUAAUACCGGAUAACAUUUUGAACCGCAUGGUUCGAAAUUGAAAGGCGGCUUCGGCUGUCACUUAUGGAUGGACCCGCGUCGCAUUAGCUAGUUGGUGAGGUAACGGCUCACCAGGGCAACGAUGCGUAGCCGACCUGAGAGGGUGAUCGGCCACACUGGGACUGAGACACGGCCCAGACUCCUACGGGAGGCAGCAGUAGGGAAUCUUCCGCAAUGGACGAAAGUUUGACGGAGCAACGCCGCGUGAGUGAUGAAGGCUUUCGGGUCGUAAAACUCUGUUGUUAGGGAAGAACAAGUGCUAGUUGAAUAAGCUGGCACCUUGACGGUACCUAACCAGAAAGCCACGGCUAACUACGUGCCAGCCGCCGCGGUAA
rnacentral:rRNA from 1 species